AUCUGCGGAUUUGGAGAACGGUCGCCUAAUGGGUGUACUGUUUUCCUGUCCUAUUUUCUCUAGUUUACCUUAGGUGCGCUUCACUGUGUGUCUAGGGUGGCUAGAACGUUUACUUUGAAAAAAUUAGAGUGCUCAAAGCAGGCUUCUACGCCUGAAUAGUGGUGCAUGGAAUAAUGGAAUAGGACCUCGGUUCUAUUUUGUUGGUUUUCGGAGCAUGAGGUAAUGAUUAAGAGGGACAGACGGGGGCAUUCAUAUUGCGACUUUAGAGGUGAAAUUCUUGGAUUGUCGCAAGAUGAACAACUGCGAAAGCAUUUGCCAAGAAUGUUUUCAUUAAUCAAGAACGAAAGUUAGAGGUUCGAAGGCGAUCAGAUACCGCCCUAGUUCUAACCGUAAACGAUGCCAACCAGCAAUCCGCGGGAGUUAUUCAAUGACUCUGCGGGCGGCUCCAGGGAAACCAAAGUUUUUGGGUUCCGGGGGAAGUAUGGUUGCAAAGCUGAAACUUAAAGGAAUUGACGGAAGGGCACCACCAGGAGUGGAGCCUGCGGCUUAAUUUGACUCAACGCGGGGAAACUCACCCGGCCCGGACACUGUAAGGAUUGACAGAUUGAUAGCUCUUUCUUGAUUCAGUGGAUGGUGGUGCAUGGCCGUUCUUAGUUGGUGGAGCGAUUUGUCUGGUUAAUUCCGAUAACGAACGAGACUCCGGCCUACUAACUAGAACGUAGAUUCUUUGUCUACGAGACUUCUUAGAGGGACUCGGGGCGUCUAGCCUCACGAAGUGGAGCGAUAACAGGUCUGUAAUGCCCUUAGAUGUCCGGGGCCGCACGCGCGCUACACUGAAGGAAGCAACAAGCUAUAUCCUGGUUCGAAAGGACUGGGUAACCUUGUGAACUCCUUCGUGAUUGGGAUAGGGACUUGCAAUUAUUUCCCUUGAACGAGGAAUUCCUAGUAAGUGUGGGUCAUCAUCUCGCGUUGAUUACGUCCUGCCC
rnacentral:rRNA from 1 species